rnacentral:rRNA from 1 species
CCUACGGGUGGCAGCAGUGAGGAAUAUUGGUCAAUGGCCGGAAGGCUGAACCAGCCAAGUCGCGUGAGGGAAGACGGUCCUAUGGAUUGUAAACCUCUUUAGGCGGGGAGCAAUGCCGGGCACGCGUGCCCGGAGGGAGAGUACCCGCAGAAUAAGCAUCGGCUAACUCCGUGCCAGCAGCCGCGGUAAUACGGAGGAUGCGAUCGUUAUCCGGAUUUAUUGGGUUUAAAGGGUGCGUAGGCGGAUUUUUAAGUCAGCGGGAAAAUGUACGGGCUCAACCCGGGCCGGCCGUUGAAACUGGGGAUCUUGAGUGGGCGAGAAGUAUGCGGAAUGCGUGGUGUAGCGGUGAAAUGCAUAGAUAUCACGCAGAACUCCGAUUGCGAAGGCAGCAUACCGGCGCCCGACUGACGCUGAGGCACGAAAGCGUGGGGAUCGAACAGGAUUAGAUACCCGUGUGGUC